rnacentral:rRNA from 1 species
CCUAACCAGAAAGCCACGGCUAACUACGUGCCAGCAGCCGCGGUAAUACGUAGGUGGCAAGCGUUAUCCGGAAUUAUUGGGCGUAAAGCGCGCGCAGGUGGUUUCUUAAGUCUGAUGUGAAAGCCCACGGCUCAACCGUGGAGGGUCAUUGGAAACUGGGAGACUUGAGUGCAGAAGAGGAAAGUGGAAUUCCAUGUGUAGCGGUGAAAUGCGUAGAGAUAUGGAGGAACACCAGUGGCGAAGGCGACUUUCUGGUCUGUAACUGACACUGAGGCGCGAAAGCGUGGGGAGCAAACAGGAUUAGAUACCCUGGUAGUCCACGCCGUAAACGAUGAGUGCUAAGUGUUAGA